rnacentral:rRNA from 1 species
UACGUAGGGGCCGAGCGUUGUCCGGAGUUAUUGGGCGUAAAGCGCGCGCAGGCGGCCUCGCGCGCCCGACGUGAAAGCCCCCGGCUUAACCGGGGAGGGUCGUUGGGGACGGCGGGGCUUGAGGGCGGGAGAGGUCGGUGGAAUUCCCGGUGUAGUGGUGAAAUGCGUAGAUAUCGGGAGGAACACCAGUGGCGAAGGCGACUACCUGGCCUGUUCUUGACGCUGAGGCGCGAAAGCUAGGGGAGCAAACGGG